UCUGUUUCUCCUCUCGAACGAAUCGGACCACCCUCUUCACCGCCGUCGAGCACGGCACCGCCGCUUUGCCGGCGGCGGCGGCGGCGGAGAUGAAUGUUCAAGCAGGAAGGAUGCAAUGUAGACGUUUGCUGCUGGCCGGCGUUGGCAGGGGAAAAUUUUGGUUCUUCUCGGCCGGGUGAAUCGUGAUUUUACUGGGUAUCUCGCCUCCGCCGAAUGCGUGGGACGAUUCACACCCGCGCGUGUACUGUAGGUGUAAUUUCCCCCCAUUUUUGCAGUUCCAAGUAGAAAAUUUUCAUUUCAAUACUGAUUCUGAAUACAUUUUGGUCGGUUUGAUGAAAGAUUCGCAGCUACACCUUGGAUUUCUGUAUAUCAUGUUGGAAUCUUAGAUGCUGAUGAAAUGAUUGGACUGAAACCGUUCUCACCCACCAGCACUACUGAUGGUUUGGGUCAUCUUAUAUGUGCCUUCUGAUUAUGGAUUUC